GAGUUUGAUCCUGGCUCAGGAUGAACGCUGGAUACAGGCCUUACACAUGCGAGUUAAAUAAAAGUUUUUUGUUUUUUAAACUUAAAUAGCGAACGGGUGAGUAGAUCCCCUUUGAAUAUACCAAAAAAGUGGGCAUUCCUUUGGAAAAUUCCCAAAAGACGUUUUUUCCUUUUUUGAUGUUAAAGGGAACGAUUAGGUUGUUGGCGAGGUGAAAGCUCCCCAAGCCCAAGAUCGUUAAUUGGUCUGAGAGGACGACCAAUCACACUGGAACUGAGACAAGGUCCAGGCUUCCUUGGAAGCCAGCAGUGAGGAAUAUUGGACAAUGAGCGAAAGCUUGAUCCAGCUAUGUAUCGUGAGUGAUUGAAGACUCCUUGAGGUUGUAAAACUCAGUUCUGAUCCUGAAUAUUGAUUAGGUUUUAGAAAUAGACCCGGCCAACAUUCGUGCCAGCAGCCGCGGUUAUACGGAGGGGUCGAGCGUUAUCCAAAAUAACUGGGCGUAAAGUGUCCGUAGACGGUUUCAUACAGUAUUAAAAGAAAGUUUAAAGAUCUACUUUGAAAGGUUUUAAUAAACUAUGAAACAAGAGUUUGAUAGAGGGUAAAGGAAUGUUGCAUGGAGGGAUGGUAUCCGGAGAUAUGCAAAGGAACACCAAAGGCGAAGGCAAUUACCUGGAUCAAUACUGACGUUGAGGGACGAAAGCACGGGGAGCAAACAGGAUUAGAUACCCUGGUAGUCCGUGCUGUCAACGAUGAGUGCUCUACGAUAGACUUUUAAAAGUUUAUGAGAAGAUACGAAAGUUUCAAGCACUCCGCCUGAGAGCUACGACCGCAAGGUUAAAACUCAAAGGAAUUGACGGGGGCCUAUACAAGUGGUGGAGCAUGUGGUUUAAUGCGAUGAUCCUCGACACACCUUACCAUUUCUUGACAUGAACAUAAAAAUUUUGUAUAAAUCAAAUGUUCACAGGUGUUGCAUGGCUGUCGUCAGCUCGUGUUGUAAAAUGUUUGGUUCAGUCCAUUUAACGAGCGCAACCUUUAUUUGUUGUUUAGCCUUUUGGCUCUACAAAAACUGCAUCGAACUCUAUAUGGGAAAGAUAAGGAAGGGGAAGAUGACGUCAAGUCCUUAUGGCCCUUAUGAAAUGGGCUACACACGUGCUACAAUGGAAAAAGCAAAGAGUGAUAACAUAUUAUGAAAUCAAUCUCCAAUAUUUUUCUUAGUUCGGAUUGAAAGCUGCAACUCGCUUUCAUGAAGAUGGAAUCACUAGUAAUCAUAGAUCAGGAAGCUAUGGUGAAUACGUACCUGGGCUUUGCACACAC
rnacentral:rRNA from 1 species